AGUGAACGCUGGCGGUAGGCCUAACACAUGCAAGUCGAACGGCAGCACAGUAAGAGCUUGCUCUUACGGGUGGCGAGUGGCGGACGGGUGAGGAAUACAUCGGAAUCUACUUUUUCGUGGGGGAUAACGUAGGGAAACUUACGCUAACACCGCAUACGACCUACGGGUGAAAGCAGGGGAUCUUCUGACCUUGCGCGAUUGAAUGAGCCGAUGUCGGAUUAGCUAGUUGGCGGGGUAAAGGCCCACCAAGGCGACGAUCCGUAGCUGGUCUGAGAGGAUGAUCAGCCACACUGGAACUGAGACACGGUCCAGACUCCUACGGGAGGCAGCAGUGGGGAAUAUUAGACAAUGGGCGCAAGCAUGACCCAGCCAUACCGCGUGGGUGAAGAAGGCGUUCGGGUUGUAAAGACCUUUUGUUGGGAAAGAAAAGCAGCAGGUUAAUACCCAGCUGUUCUGACGGUACCAAAAGAAUAAGCACCGGCUAACUUCGUG
rnacentral:rRNA from 1 species